rnacentral:tRNA from 1 species
AAAAAGAUAAGCUAAGCAAGCUAUUGGGUUCAUACCCCAUAUAUAGAAGUAAAAUCUUCUUCUUUUUA